rnacentral:rRNA from 1 species
UGGGGAAUAUUGCACAAUGGGCGCAAGCCUGAUGCAGCCAUGCCGCGUGUGUGAAGAAGGCCUUCGGGUUGUAAAGCACUUUCAGCGAGGAGGAAGGUGGUGAGCUUAAUACGUUCAUCAAUUGACGUUACUCGCAGAAGAAGCACCGGCUAACUCCGUGCCAGCAGCCGCGGUAAUACGGAGGGUGCGAAGCAGUUAAUUCGGAAAUUAGAUCUGGGGCGUAAAAGCGCACGCAGGCGGUUUGUUAAGUCAGAUGUGAAAUCCCCGGGCUCAACCUGGGAACUGCAUUUGAAACUGGCAAGCUAGAGUCUCGUAGAGGGGGGUAGAAUUCCAGGUGGUAGCGGUGAAAUGCGUUAGAGAUCUGGAGGAAUACCGGUGGCGAAGGCGGCCCCCUGGCACGAAGACUGACGCUCAGGUGCGAAAGCGUGGGAGCAAAACA